UACGUAGGCAGCAAGCGUUGUUCGGAAUUACUGGGCGUAAAGAGUGUGUAGGCGGUGCUCUAAGUUCGGUGUGAAAUCUCCCGCUUAACUGGGAGGGUGCGCCGGAAACUGGAGUGCUCGAGCGUGGGAGAGGAAAGCGGAAUUCCUCGGGUGUAGCGGUGAAAUGCGUAGAUAUCAGGAGGAACACCGGUGGUGUAGACGGCUUUCUGGACCAUAGCCUGGACGCUGAGACACGAAAGCGUGGGUAGC
rnacentral:rRNA from 1 species